rnacentral:rRNA from 1 species
UACAGCGGGGGCCAGCGUUAUUCGGAAUUAUUGGGCGUAAAGAGCUCGUAGGCGGUUCGUCGCGUCGGCUGUGAAAUCCCGAGGCUCAACCUCGGGUCUGCAGUCGAUACGGGCGGACUGGAGUUCGGCAGGGGAGACUGGAAUUCCUGGUGUAGCGGUGAAAUGCGCAGAUAUCAGGAGGAACACCGGUGGCGAAGGCGGGUCUCUGGGCCGAAAUUGACGCUGAGGAGCGAAAGCGUGGGGAGCAAACAGG